rnacentral:rRNA from 1 species
GACGAACGCUGGCGGCGUGCUUAACACGUGCAAGUCGAACGGAAAGGCCCUGCUUUUGUGGGGUGCUCGAGUGGCGAACGGGUGAGUAACACGUGAGUAACCUGCCCUUGACUUUGGGAUAACUUCAGGAAACUGGGGCUAAUACCGGAUAGGAGCUCCUGCUGCAUGGUGGGGGUUGGAAAGUUUCGGCGGUUGGGGAUGGACUCGCGGCUUAUCAGCUUGUUGGUGGGGUAGUGGCUUACCAAGGCUUUGACGGGUAGCCGGCCUGAGAGGGUGACCGGCCACAUUGGGACUGAGAUACGGCCCAGACUCCUACGGGAGGUAGCAGUGGGGAAUAUUGCACAAUGGGCGGAAGCCUGAUGCAGCAACGCCGCGUGCGGGAUGACGGCCUUCGGGUUGUAAACCGCUUUCGCCUGUGACGAAGCGUGAGUGACGGUAAUGGGUAAAGAAGCACCGGCUAACUACGUG